GGCCUAGAUGACAUUUUUUUUUUAGCUAUGACUGUUGAAAUUUGUAAUGACGUGCGUUAGGCAAUACGCUUAUCAAUCCUUUAGGAAACAAUAAAAUGAGGGAAUGUAUUUGUACUACUGACAUCGAUUGGACUAGUUUAUCUGUGUAUAGAAGAAAAAUAAUGUAAUACGACGCGUCUAUAAUAAUAAAAAUAUGUUCAUCUAUCAGCUUCUGUUCAUAUCUCUCAUAACAUGUGUUCAGUCAUUGGAGACUCCCAGAAAUGUGACCUGUAAAAUUAGCAAAACUACGUUCGAGUCUAUACUAGUCACUUGUAAGACCAAACUACUUCUUCCACAGUCAGCGUUUAGUGUUAAUUUCACGUCCAACAGUACCUCAUUGAGCGAUACAUCCAGCAUAGAUCUAAACUGUACUUCUACCCGCUCUAAUGUCCACCCAUCGCAAGUACAUAUGAAUAUGACAACAUGCUUAAUUAAGAUCAACACGACACAAUUACAAUCAGGUUAUUACGACCUUCAGUUGAUGGCAUCGGCUUUUGGGAACGACUCAAGUGAAGAAAGUGAAGUCAUAAGGCUCCAUU
rnacentral:sRNA from 1 species